AACGCACAUUGCGCCUUGUGGUAUUCCGCAAGGCAUGCCUGUUCGAACGUCAUCAAGCCCCUCGAGCCCCCUGGCUUUUUGCCGCCACGGGGAAAUCGGUCGUGUCCCUGGCGACGCGGCGCCCUCCCGGGCCCGCCCUCCUGGACGAAACCAAUCGUGCUGACCCGCCGGUCGCCAAAGCGUAGUAAGCCUAAACAGCUCUCGCCUGGCACAAAGGACCGCGAGCGCGUCACGCCGUUGAACCACACCCCAAUUCAAGAGUUUGACUUCGGAUCAGGUAGGGAUACCCGCUGAACUUAA
rnacentral:misc_RNA from 1 species